UAGGGAAUAUUGGACAAUGGGCGCAAGCCUGAUCCAGCCAUUCCGCGUGAGUGAAGAAGGCCCUCGGGUUGUAAAGCUCUUUUGUCCGGAAAGAAAAGCUUUGGGUUAAUACCCCGAAGUCCUGACGGUACCGGAAGAAUAAGCACCGGCUAACUUCGUGCCAGCAGCCGCGGUAAUACGAAGGGUGCAAGCGUUACUCGGAAUUACUGGGCGUAAAGCGUGCGUAGGUGGUUCGUUAAGUCUGAUGUGAAAGCCCUGGGCUCAACCUGGGAAUGGCAUUGGAUACUGGCGGGCUAGAGUGCGGUAGAGGGCAGUGGAAUUCCCGGUGUAGCAGUGAAAUGCGUAGAGAUCGGGAGGAACAUCUGUGGCGAAGGCGACUGCCUGGACCAGCACUGACACUGAGGCACGAAAGCGUGGGGAGCAAACAGG
rnacentral:rRNA from 1 species